UGGUGGGUAGUUUGACUGGGGCGGUCUCCUCCUAAAGAGUAACGGAGGAGCACGAAGGUUGGCUAAUCCUGGUCGGACAUCAGGAGGUUAGUGCAAUGGCAUAAGCCAGCUUGACUGCGAGCGUGACGGCGCGAGCAGGUGCGAAAGCAGGUCAUAGUGAUCCGGUGGUUCUGAAUGGAAGGGCCAUCGCUCAACGGAUAAAAGGUACUCCGGGGAUAACAGGCUGAUACCGCCCAAGAGUUCAUAUCGACGGCGGUGUUUGGCACCUCGAUGUCGGCUCAUCACAUCCUGGGGCUGAAGUAGGUCCCAAGGGUAUGGCUGUUCGCCAUUUAAAGUGGUACGCGAGCUGGGUUUAGAACGUCGUGAGACAGUUCGGUCCCUAUCUGCCGUGGGCGCUGGAGAACUGAGGGGGGCUGCUCCUAGUACGAGAGGACCGGAGUGGACGCAUCACUGGUGUUCGGGUUGUCAUGCCAAUGGCACUGCCCGGUAGCUAAAUGCGGAAGAGAUAAGUGCUGAAAGCAUCUAAGCACGAAACUUGCCCCGAGAUGAGUUCUCCCUGACUCCUUGAGAGUCCUGAAGGAACGUUGAAGACGACGACGUUGAUAGGCCGGGUGUGUAAGCGCAGCGAUGCGUU
rnacentral:rRNA from 1 species